AGCGAGAGUAGAGGGAGGGAGCUGAAGGAGAUGCUGUGAUAGGCCAGGGUAUCAGGGCAUGCAGGUGGCAUGGGCCAAGGGCAAGGCUUGGCUUUCCUUGGAGAGGAAAGGAAGUCACUGUUAGAUGAGCAGAGCCGUGAGUCAGCCUGAUGUGUUUGCAAGAUGGCUGUGGUCGAUGUUGCCUUGAGAAUAGGCUUCCACAGAGGAAGGGCAAACAUCGGGGCCUGGAUGAGUCAGUUUAAGAGUCUGAGUAGCCUGGUCUUCUGUACAAUUGAUGGGUUCAUGCUCCCCCUCAUGAAGACAAAGCAAAGGGGUAGCCUGUAAUUGCUUCCGGCCAUGAAGAUAUAUACCUUUAACUGUUGUGUAGACUCAGAGAAAAAUUAUAAUUUGAACUUCAUUUAUCCCUUGGUUUUUCUUGUUAGGGACACUUCCCUGGAUGAUGGAGAUAUCAUCAUUAUAAUUCUUACUAAAGCCUGAUAUAAACAAGUGAACAGUUAGUAAGUGUUCAUUCUAUACAAGAAGCUAAGUCUCCUUCAUUCUUGGCCUCCAUGCCCCCUGUGGAGGGGGGCAGCACAUCACAAUCUUUCUCCCACCAUCCAGCAGAGGACACAGAGGGCUCCGUGUCAGUGAAGUCUACAAAGUAGCCUCACUCCGAGCUUCAGCAGGUGACUUGGCCGAGAGAGACCUCAGUGAAAGAUGUAGAGGAAUAUUGGAGUCCAAGACGGGGAGCUGUUGGGAGGACGUUAGAACCAAUUCUCAACCCUAGAGGAGAGUAACCCUUAGGUCGUGACCCACAGGUUGAGAACCACUGCAUUGCAGCAGGUACUACCCAGUGAGGGAGUGACAAAACUCAGAAUCCCCCCGCCCCUCCUAUGGACCUUCACUUCCUUAUCAUUAUUGUCCCUUGUGAUUCAAGUCAUGGAAAAAGUCAACAAGAGAGUUCUCUGGUCAAGGACAGCUCUUUCUUAUAUUCCAUCCUCCAGUUGAUGUCUAGCUACAAUGUUGAAGUUUGGGGCUACUACUGAGACAGCUGCUCUGAAUGUUUGUACACAAGUCUUCUGUCUUCAGAUCUCUUCAUUUUUCUGGAUAUAAUGCUCAGCUUCAUGAGGACACAAAUCAAAAUAACGGAUGGCUGGGCCGCUUUAAUCUCCACUUCUCACCCCUUCCCCUUUGAACUUGGUCACUGUCAUGUUCCUAAUCUCUGGAGAUUCUGCAUCUAUCCCUUUCAAGAGCCAUCGGCCCCAUCUCUUUGGUUUGGUCUCCUGGAUGUGGCAUAAAUAUUUCUGUCCCUUUG
ensembl:lincRNA 4930413E15Rik RIKEN cDNA 4930413E15 gene